ACAGCCUGCCCCCUGAGCCGGGGAGAGAGGCUAGGCUAGGGAGAGAGGCUAGCCUCUGUUAGCCUCUCUCUCUCUCCAAAGUGCAAUAUGUGUAAAGCCAAAUACACCCGGUCUGUUGCAGAUGAAACGCUGCACGAUUCAAAGUGUUGAGUGUUUCUUUUGUGUGUCCCGUCUCCCUCCCCGUCCCUGACCUUUGACCCUUCUGUAUUGCUAUGUUAGACCACAUCUCCCUGGUCCCUACACAGCUCCUUGGGGAAACCCUACAGUUCUCACGACCGUGACCAGUGAGUAGCCACUCAGUGGCAUCACCAAAAGGUCCAAAAGCAAAGUCAGUGUCUUGCUGAUACGGGGUAAGGCCCGUACCAAGAUGACAACACUCCUCUUGUCUUCUCUGCAAGAGAUGAUGAAGGCUGAUAAUCGCUGAUUGAUUGUGCAGAAUUCUCUUUUUUUUCCUCCCCAAUAUGAAAUAUUGACUGGCAUUGAGGUUUAGAAAUAUGUCGGUAAAUUUGUUGGAAAGUAACUUGUUUUCAUUUUCUUCAACUUUGUGUGCUGUGGAGCUUACCAUGUUCUUUUAAAAAAAAAGCUUUGCAGUCAUUUGCAAACCCACAUGAAAUUCAAGUCUCAGCAAUAGUUUUUGUGUAGUUGGUCUACAGUGAGCACAGUUAAGAUGUUCUGGCUGCCCUGGAUGUUAUAAGAAGAGACGGUUUGGCCACUAUAGCAGAAAUCUUUCGUACAUUAUCUGUAUGAAACCACCUAUCUAUCCACGCAGAGUAAUAGACAUCACAAGAUUGAACGAAUUCAUACGACCGUAACUCCUGUCCUAACAUUUAGCAUGCUCAACCAGAGAUUGAGUGGAGAGCAUCUUUCUUGAUAUUUUUUUCAGUACUGGCUCAUCUAAGCAGUAGGUGUUUCAGAUCAAAGUUUUUAUUAUUGUGUUGAAAAAGUAUGAAUUUUCAGUGUCUCUUCAGCCAAGGUCUGUCGGAAGGCUUUGGUGUGGGCAGUGGUUGGGAAACGUACUUCUGUGUGAAAUCUCGAAGACCUCUGAACACCUCUGGCUUUUCUGAAGUGUCUCUCAAGUCACUAUUGAUUGCAAAGUGGGGAAACAUCAAAAGGUGAAGAUUCAAAGUUUUUAUGUACCAUUUCUCCUCUUUUAUUCAGUCUACUUUUCUCUGUAGGUGUGUUCAUGUAAAAAAUCAUCUAAAUAAUACAUUUAUUUUUGUAUAGAUGAUUGACAGUCGGACGGAGGAGAAUGUUGUACAGUUAGUGGUUCCUUUGUUUCACAACUUGUUCAUAUCAGCUAGCUAUUAUUAUUAUUAUUAUUAUUAUUAUUAUUAUUAUUAUCUUAAACACUGGGUACGUCCCUUUAUAGUUUCAUUCAUACAAUCUUUUCUUAUUUAUCUUGCAGUUUCAGUCAGCAGCCAUUUUAUUCAUGGCAAAAUACCUAGCUUUGCCUUGAUUUUAUAAGAGAAAUAGAGUUAUUUUGUCUGGUUGUGCAUCUCAUUUUCCCAGUAUGAGAUGGAGAGGUCAUGUUUGUACGGUAGUUUGUAUGGUAGUUGCCGAUUGUCCAUGGAGCUUCCAGAUUCGAAACCCUCAAUUGAGUCGCACUGUGAGAUCUGCCUUGGGCUGAUGCUCUGGGUCGUUGCAUGAUGAAGUGAAGGAUUGUUAGGAAGAUGACUUUAUAACCAUAUAAUGUCCCAAGUCAUCUGUACGCUUUGUUUACUGUGCACUACAUAGGUGAACAGCAGUGGCUGGUCUGAGGGCAAUUGAAGGAUGUGUGUGUGCGCGUGCGUGUAAAGGUUGCGGUAUGACAUAAUCGGUGAAUACAGGAAAUGGCACCUUCAGCCAGGGUAAAUGGCUUCUCUACAUGCCCAGCUGUUGGACUGACAAUCUGCUGAUCGCACUUAAAAAGAAAUUGAUAAAUUAUUCUCAGUUGUCCUUUUUUUUUGGGCCAAGAUGCAGAAUGGAAAGAAAUUCACUCACGCACAACAUGCUCUUGUAGAUGGUAAGAAACGAUGCCUGUUAUGUCCUGUGAACUCCACGUGUGCUUCUCCCGUGCGCGUCUGCGUCCUGUGUGACCCUGGGGCGAGAGCCUCCUCAGAGGAGCCGGCCUGAGGUGCCUCACUAUGCUCUCUGACCGUCUGCGUUUCUCUGUCGUCAGGACGGUCUUCUGUGCUUCGUGUCUAAUCGUUUUUUGAGCACUCCACUAACAAUGAGUGGUCCUUCCUUUUGAUGGCGUAUGCAGUUUCUCUCGUGGUGCAAAUGCCGGAGGACAGUUUGUGAGUUAUGCCACGUUGCACCCAAAACGUUCAGUAUCGUGCCGUUAAGGCUCGGUAGAAGAAACUCUGUUUAGCACUUUUUCCACACCGUGCGCGCACAGUGCUUCACUGUUCAACUGGGAAUGCAGUACAGACAAAACUUGGAUGAACAAAACGGAAAAGCAUCUAUGCAUCCUUGGAAGAUUGAAUGACUGGUCUGCCAGGGACACUCCACCGAAAAGAGAAUAUUUUCACUGAGGUCUUGCUCUUGUAACUCAUGCUCAUAUAUGACACUGCUGAAAUGACUGGUCUCCAGUAAACUGAACAUGCCCUUCCAGUUCAGACCCUGUAGAAAUGCUUUGCUUGGCCAGUGUUGAGUCAGCUGAUGGUUUAUUCAGUGUAAGUGGUGGGGUACUCACUCCUUCAUUAAAACUACCCACUUCCCCUGCUUUGGUCUAGUUUUUCUCCAGAGCACUUAUUUUAAUGCUCUGAUGCAUAAUACUAAUUCACAAUAUGAUGCAAAGGCUACUUUACCGUCAUUUCACAUGCAGCAGUGGGCUGGGUUAAAUGGCAAGAGUCACUUUUUCUGUGUGAGUGUUUGUUUGUGUGUGUUGGUGAGAGAGAGCGAGGGCGAGAUUUGUUUUAAUUUGUGAGCACUUUAGUCAUGAUGAUGGGAUUUAUUUUGAGUGUUAAAGUUUAAGAGGUUUUCAGGGCCUCACUGAUAUUGGCAUUGGGAAAUGUACUUGCCCUCAUGCAUUUGUCAAUAAUAGCAGUUAUGUCUUCAUGCCCAACCUGAAGGUGUAAUUCUUUCAACCGUUUAUUCCACCGGAGUGUAAUGUGUGGGCAUGGUUUGGGGUGACUCAGUCAGAUCAUCUGUCUGUGAACGAUCCUUCCAUUUCUCCAUUACCAAACUCUCACCAGUGAACAUUACUGCUGUGGCAGAAUGUACCGAUGUACUGUAUCAUUAAACAUACUGUAAACCAAACUCUUCAAAAUGAACUCUUUCUAACUUACUGCAAAAUAAGGCAACAGAAUGGGAGAUGAUCCGGUCAGGAUAUUUAAAGUUUAUGACUUUCUUUGACUCGUGUAUUUGUCAUAAGUGUAUUUGUCAUGAUCUAAUUGAAAUUAAAAAUCUAAAUAUGGCGUACAGAAUGGAAAUUGACUGCUGUACUGUGGAAGCUAGUCCUAAAUGAAGAGCACUCUGCUGGCCUGAGACAGGGGAGGUGUGCUGUGUGGGAGGGAUGGGGAUGGGAUUAAAAUGCCUCUCUGGAAAGGGACCCACUCACUGCCACUCUGCUGAUAGUGCGGCCAUUUUGAAUGACUUUGCAAAGACCCUCAUUGUGCUUGCACUCCGUGUCCUUUCCAAAAUAUUUUUAUCCUCCGUUUAUCCACCGUCUGUCGCCUCAGCCGGGUCACGCCGGUGAGACUGUGUGACUGAGAAUCCGGCCUGUGACCUUUAAUUUCCUCUGUUCUCUGCGGAACGGGCCGUUUCGUCAGACACAUUUAAUUGGAAUGCGAAGGACUACACUGACCCGCCGAUUUAUUGACUUUUGUGUGGCGCGCUUCUUUUCAAUUGUAAAUCCUGAUCCUAACCGUCGUUUCUGUCACAAUAUUUAAUAACAAUUUGUCUCUUGUUAUGGGCUGAGAUCGGCUGCUGAAUGAAUGCGUUGCUAUGGUUUCAGACCAUCCAUAACUCAAACCGCCCAUUCUCAGUGGCUGCUGGGUUCAGGAGAGCUUCAUUUUAAUAGUGUCGGAUUAUCUCUUUUUUACCAAAAAUGUCUUUUCAUAUCUUUUUACUGCCACCAUUAUUCUCUGUAUUUCACCCAGUAUAGAAUGACUGUUCAGAGUGGUCUGUUCCGACAGUGAUAUUACCCAGAGUUAAUGUGCUGUUUUAGGUGGACGUCCUGUUUGGCAGCAGGCUCUGUGGCUCUGACCUGCAGUAGGCCCUCGGGUUCCUUUCAGGUCGGUUUAGAUGUGGGGAAACUGUGGACACUACAUUUAGAUUUAAUGCAUUGAGCUGACACUCAGAUCCAUACUGUACAUGCUGUACAGCGGGAUACUUAGUAACACGGGGUCUGCCCCUCCUGUAGCUCCAGGGUUGUACAGCACUGCCCCGCCUGGGAAUCAAACUCAAUCCCAAACCCAGUUCCUUAACCUUGACGCUACGGUCCAGCCAAUGGUUUGGGUGAGUGGUCACUCCUGGUCCUGGAGAGCCGCAGGGUGUGCUGGGGUCCUCACUCCUGGUCCUGGAGAGCCGCAGGGUGUGCUGGGGUCCUCUCUCCUGGACCAAGAGUGAGGACCAGUGGCUUGGAUGAAUCUCUGGCGCUGAAACGCACUGAAUGCCAGGACACUAUGGCCCUCCAGCACUGGAGUCUCCCUGCUGUUUUCCCCUUUGGCCGACUCAGUGGGGUUGCCAGCUUCAGUCCAUAGUGGCAUGGCCAGUGUUCGGUUACAGACCAUGAAGCAUAUUAUUGGACCAAAGGUCUGGCAGGGGCAGGAUAUGUGCCCAAUAACCCUAUAAUAACCCCAGCUUUUUUUUAUUUUUAGGACCUCAACAUUUAAUAGGUAUAUGAAGUGAUGUUUUUAAAUCACUGAGUUGUUUUAUAUACAGUAUAUGAAGCACUUAGUACAGCUUAUGGUUGGGCACAAGGUUCUGUCAGAUUUAUGAGGCACCUUGGUCUUUGCUUGUAAAGAUUGUCCUUUGCCGGCUGUUUCCGAGUCGGUGCUUUGGGAUUGUGAGUUAAGAUUUUUCGCCCCGGCCUAUUGAUUGUAGAUUAGACAUCGCAGAGACUGAAUACAAAUGAGCAUAACGGACACGGAGAGACACUCAUAACCUGAAUGAUGAUAUUUAAGUGACUAAAAGGAAGGAAGAGCAUAACCAAAUGUUUCACCUUGACAAAAACCUUUUUAACAACCCAACAAUCAUCCUGACUUUUGCUCCACUCAUUUUGUCUUCCAAAAAACGAAACCUGCAAAUAUUUUUUCCCGAAUUAAUCACCUUUAUAAGGAGAAGUGUGUGCGUGUGUGUGUGUGUGUGUGUGUGUGUCUAUGUGUAUGUCAGACAGAGGUGUCUGCAUGGCUCUGUGUGUUUUUGUGCUGUUAAGGUUUGUUCCUUGUUUUGAGUGGCAGUAGCAUGAAGCAGCGAUCCCAACGAAACGAAAGUUCUUUCCCUUCCUGGCGUACGCAUUGUGUUUGUACAGGAUUUUACAUGUUGGCUGUAAGAAUUUUAUUUUAAUAAAUUUAAAAUGACUUCA